GAGUUUGAUCAUGGCUCAGAACGAACGCUGGCGGCGUGCCUAACACAUGCAAGUCCGACGUGAAAGGGGAGCAAUCCCCCGGUAGGGUGGCAAACGGGUGAGUAAGACAUGGGUGACCUGCCCUGGAGAUGGGGAUAUCCCUCCGAAAGGGGGGGCAAUACCGAAUAGUAUCCGGUUCCGUGAAGGGGGCCGGGGAAAGGGAGGCCUCUGGUACAAGCUUCCGCUCCUGGAUGAGCCCAUGGCCCAUCAGCUAGUUGGUAGGGUAAAGGCCUACCAAGGCGACGACGGGUAGCUGGUCUGAGAGGACAACCAGCCACACUGGCACUGAGACACGGGCCAGACUCCUACGGGAGGCAGCAGUGAGGAAUAUUGCGCAAUGGGGGCAACCCCGACGCAGCAACGCCGCGUGUGGGAAGAAGGCUUUCGGGUUGUAAACCACUUUUGCUCGGGACGAAAGGGGGGACCUGAAUAAGGUUGCCCGAUGACGGUACCGGGAGAAUAAGCCACGGCUAACUCUGUGCCAGCAGCCGCGGUAAGACAGAGGUGGCAAGCGUUGUUCGGAGUUACUGGGCGUAAAGAGUCUGUAGGUGGUCUGUCAAGUCUUUGGUGAAAGGCCGUGGCUUAACCAUGGGAAUGCCAAAGAGACUGGCAGACUGGAGGCUGGGAGAGGGAAGCGGAAUUUCUGGUGUAGCGGUGAAAUGCGUAGAUAUCAGAAGGAAGGCCGGUGGCGAAGGCGGCUUCCUGGAACAGACCUGACACUGAGAGACGAAAGCGUGGGGAGCAAACAGGAUUAGAUACCCUGGUAGUCCACGCCCUAAACGAUGGGUACUAGUGUGGGAGGUUAAACCUCCCGUGCCGCAGCCACGCAGUAAGUACCCCGCCUGGGGAGUACGGCCGCA
rnacentral:rRNA from 1 species